rnacentral:rRNA from 1 species
UACGUAGGGGGCAAGCGUUAUCCGGAAUUACUGGGUGUAAAGGGAGCGUAGGCGGCCUGCCAAGUCUGAUGUGAAAUACCGGGGCUCAACCCCGGGGCUGCAUUGGAAACUGGCAGGCUGGAGUGCCGGAGAGGCAGGCGGAAUUCCUAGUGUAGCGGUGAAAUGCAUAGAUAUCACGCAGAACUCCGAUUGCGAAGGCAGCAUACCGGCGCCCGACUGACGCUGAAGCACGAAAGCGUGGGUAUCGAACAGG